rnacentral:tRNA from 1 species
UCCUGGGUGGCUCAGUGGUAAAGAAUCCGUCUGCCAAACAGGAGACCCAGGUUCCAUCCCUGGGUCAGGAA